ACUAUAUCUAGUGUUCGAGGUUCUUCCGAUUCGCAAGGAUUGGAGGCUAAGACGGGAAUACGGUGCGCGACCGCCCCUUAUGGGUGCCGCAAUUCCGGAGCUGCCCCCGCAACUGUAAGCGGCGAGCAUCUAUCCAGCGAAAGCCACUGAAGCAUGAUGUUUCGGGAAGGUGAGGAUUGAUGCAACGACCCGCGAGCCAGGAGACCUGCCUCAAACAAAACGUCCAC
rnacentral:ncRNA from 2 species